GAAUGCUGACAUAAGUAACGAUAAAGCGGGUGAAAAGCCCGCUCGCCGGAAGACCAAGGGUUCCUGUCCAACGUUAAUCGGGGCAGGGUGAGUCGACCCCUAAGGCGAGGCCGAAAGGCGUAGUCGAUGGGAAACAGGUUAAUAUUCCUGUACUUGGUGUUACUGCGAAGGGGGGACGGAGAAGGCUAUGUUGGCCGGGCGACGGUUGUCCCGGUUUAAGCGUGUAGGCUGGUUUUCCAGGCAAAUCCGGAAAAUCAAGGCUGAGGCGUGAUGACGAGGCACUACGGUGCUGAAGCGACAAAUGCCCUGCUUCCAGGAAAAGCCUCUAAGCAUCAGGUAACAUCAAAUCGUACCCCAAACCGACACAGGUGGUCAGGUAGAGAAUACCAAGGCGCUUGAGAGAACUCGGGUGAAGGAACUAGGCAAAAUGGUGCCGUAACUUCGGGAGAAGGCACGCUGAUAUGUAGGUGAAGCGACUUGCUCGUGGAGCUGAAAUCAGUCGAAGAUACCAGCUGGCUGCAACUGUUUAUUAAAAACACAGCACUGUGCAAACACGAAAGUGGACGUAUACGGUGUGACGCCUGCCCGGUGCCGGAAGGUUAAUUGAUGGGGUUAGCGGUAACGC
rnacentral:rRNA from 1 species